ensembl:miRNA MIR6728 microRNA 6728
CUAGAUUGGGAUGGUAGGACCAGAGGGGCUUACUGCCCUGUGGGGCUCUCUGGACCCAGUGCCAUGCUUCUCUGCUCUGCUCUCCCCAG